GCCUCCCCCGAAAGCCGAGCCGGCCUAGAGGGAUCGCUGCGCUUUGUCGUCCAGCCCCUUCUCCCGCUCGGUCUCACCUUAGAUGCCUCGACCGGCGGCAUCUGCGGGG
rnacentral:SRP_RNA from 15 species